rnacentral:tRNA from 1 species
UAGAAACAAGCAUUAGCAUUUCAUUUACGUUGAGAAGAUUCUUAAAUAUUAUUUUAAGGUUUCUAA